rnacentral:misc_RNA from 1 species
GUAGGUGAACCUGCGGAAGGAUCAUUAAUGAGAUAGGGUCCCUGUGGCCCGAACCUCCAACCCAUUGUGUACCUACCACUGUUGCUUUGGCAUGGCAUGCGCCUCCCCCGGGGGGUGCCGUCCCUGACGUGCUCGUCUGUGCCUGCCGGAGUCACCAAUCAACCCCCUUAAUAAUGUAGUCUGAGUGUAUAUUAAUAGCUAAAAACUUUCAACAACGGAUCUCUUGGUUCUG